rnacentral:tRNA from 1 species
GACUUGAUACUUUAAGUUAAAAGAUUUGAUUUGCAUUCAGACAAUAAGUUUUAAAAACUUUCGGGUCA